GCUUUACCAUGCAGUCGGACGGCAGCGGGGGUGCUUGCACAUGCCGGCGAGUGGCGAACGGGUGAGUAAUGCAUUGGAACGUACCGAGUGGUGGGGGAUAACUGUCCGAAAGGAUAGCUAAUACCGCAUACGACCUGAGGGUGAAAGCGGGGGACUUUUUUAAGCCUUGCGCUAUUUGAGCGGCCAAUGUCUGAUUAGCUAGUUGGUGGGGUAAAGGCUCACCAAGGCGACGAUCUGUAGCUGGUCUUAGAGGAUGAUCAGCCACACUGGGACUGAGACACGGCCCAGACUCCUACGGGAGGCAGCAGUGGGGAAUAUUGGACAAUGGGCGAAAGCCUGAUCCAGCCAUGCCGCGUGUGUGAAGAAGGCCUUUUGGUUGUAAAGCACUUUAAGUGGGGAGGAAAAGCUAAUAAUUAAUACCUAUUAGCCCUGACGUUACCCACAGAAUAAGCACCGGCUAACUCUGUGCCAGCAGCCGCGGUAAU
rnacentral:rRNA from 1 species